rnacentral:rRNA from 1 species
AUUGAACGCUGGCGGCAGGCUUAACACAUGCAAGUCGAACGGUAACAGGGGGUAGCUUGCUACUUUGCUGACGAGUGGCGGACGGGUGAGUAAGGUAUGGGAAUUUGCCGAAUGGAGGGGGACAACAGUUGGAAACGGCUGCUAAUACCGCAUAAGAUCUACGGAUGAAAGCAGGGGACCUUAGGGCCUUGCGCAACCAGAGUGGCCGAUGGCAGAUUAGGUAGUUGGUGAGGUAAAGG